UGUCAUUGGGAAUCAAUGGGAGUCAAUUGGUAUCAAUGGGAGUCAAUUGGUAUCAAUGGAGCUCAAUGGGAGUCAGUUGGUAUCAAUGGAGGUCAAUGGGAGUCAAUUGGUAUCAAUGGGAGUCAAUUGGUAUCAAUAGAGCUCAAUGGGAGUCAGUUGGUAUCAAUGGGAGUCAAUUGGUAUCAAUGGGAGUCAAUUGGUAUCAAUGGAGCUCAAUGGGAGUCAAUUGGUAUCAAUGGGAGUCAAUUGGUAUCAAUGGAGCUCAAUGGGAGUCAGUUGGUAUCAAUGGAGGUCAAUGGGAGUCAAUUGGUAUCAAUGGGACUCAAUGGGAGUCAACUGCUAUCAAUGGGUGUCAAUUGGUAUCAAUGGAGGUCAAUGAUUGUCAAUGGGAGUAAAUUGGUAUCAAUGGGAGUCAAUUGGUAUCAAUGGAGCUCAAUGGGAGUCAAUUGGUACCAAUGGGAGUCAAUUGGUAUCAAUGGAGGUCAAUGAUUGUCAAUGGGAGUAAAUUGGUACCAGUGGGAGUCAAUUGGUGUCAAUGGAGGUCAAUGGGAGCCAAUGGAGCUCAAUGGUUGUCAAUGGGACUCAAUGGGAGUCAAUUGGUAUCAAUGGAGCUCAAUGGUUGUCAAUGGGAGUCUAUUGGUGUCAAUAGAGAUCAAUGGGAAUCAAUGGUUGUCAAUGGGA